CCUACGGGGUGCAGCAGUGAGGAAUAUUGGUCAAUGGCCGGAAGGCUGAACCAGCCAUGCCGCGUGAAGGUCAGUGCCCUAUGGGCGUUAAACUUCUUUUGUGCGGGAGCAAUAAUGGUCACGUGUGGCCAGACGAGAGUACCGUACGAAUAAGCAUCGGCUAACUCCGUGCCAGCAGCCGCGGUAAUACGGGGGAUGCAAGCGUUAUCCGGAUUUAUUGGGUUUAAAGGGUGCGUAGGCUGUGAGGUAAGUCAGCGGGGAAAUGCCCCGGCUCAACGGGGUGAAGUGACAUUGAUACUGCCUUGCUGGAAUGCGGAUGCCGUGGGAGGAAUGUGUGGUGUAGCGGUGAAAUGCAUAGAGAUCACACAGAACACCGAUUGCGAAGGCAUCUCACGAAUCCGCGAUUGACGCUGAUGCACGAAAGCGUGGGUAUCAAACAGGAUUAGAUACCCCUGUAGUC
rnacentral:rRNA from 1 species